rnacentral:sRNA from 1 species
GGACCGACUGACGGUAAGGACGGGAGGCGAGCAAGAUGGCGCAGACGCAGGGCACCCGGAGGAAAGUCUGUUACUACUACGACGGGGAUGUUGGAAAUUACUAUUAUGGACAAGGCCACCCAAUGAAGCCUCACCGAAUCCGCAUGACUCAUAAUUUGCUGCUCAACUAUGGUCUCUACCGAAAAAUGGAAAUCUAUCGCCCUCACAAAGCCAAUGCUGAGGAGAUGACCAAGUACCACAGUGAUGACUACAUUAAAUUCUUGCGCUCCAUCCGUCCAGAUAACAUGUCGGAGUACAGCAAGCAGAUGCAGAGAUUCAACGUUGGUGAGGACUGUCCAGUAUUCGAUGGCCUGUUUGAGUUCUGUCAGUUGUCUACUGGUGGUUCUGUGGCAAGUGCUGUGAAACUUAAUAAGCAGCAGACGGACAUCGCUGUGAAUUGGGCUGGGGGCCUGCACCAUGCAAAGAAGUCCGAGGCAUCUGGCUUCUGUUACGUCAAUGAUAUCGUCUUGGCCAUCCUGGAACUGCUAAACCAGUUUCCACGUCUCUGGUGCUUAGAGAUACCUGAGGGAGGCAGCCAGCCCGGUAAGCUGGGAGCUGGCGCCCUUGGCGCGUCCCAUCCCCAAAGAGCUCCCAGACCCCUGACCCCCUUCUGAUCCUAGGUAUCACCAGAGGGUGCUGUAUAUUGACAUUGAUAUUCACCAUGGUGACGGCGUGGAAGAGGCCUUCUAUACCACGGACCGGGUCAUGACUGUGUCCUUUCAUAAGUAUGGAGAGUACUUCCCAGGAACUGGGGACCUA